rnacentral:rRNA from 1 species
GUUAGCCUACGGGGCGCAGCAGUGGGGGAUAUUGCACAAUGGGGGAAACCCUGAUGCAGCGACGCCGCGUGGGCGAAGAAGUAUUUCGGUAUGUAAAGCCCUAUCAGCAGGGAAGAAGAAAUGACGGUACCUGAGUAAGAAGCACCGGCUAAAUACGUGCCAGCAGCCGCGGUAAUACGUAUGGUGCAAGCGUUAUCCGGAUUUACUGGGUGUAAAGGGCGUGUAGGCGGGGACGCAAGUCAGAUGUGAAAACCACGGGCUCAACCCCCGAACUGCAUUUGGAACUGUUGGUCUUGAGUAUCGGG